rnacentral:rRNA from 1 species
AGCGAACGCUGGCGGCGUGCCUAACACAUGCAAGUCGAACGUGAAAGGGAGCAAUCCCAAGUAAAGUGGCGUACGGGUGAGUAACACGUAGGUAAUCUACCCCAGAAUCUGGAAUAACCGGCCGAAAGGCUGGCUAAUACUGGAUAGAGCGACGGAAUCCGUAAUUGGGUUUUUCGGGAAAGGGAGCCUGUAAAAAGGCCUUCGUUCUGGGAUGAGCCUGCGUCCCAUCAGCUAGUUGGUGAGGUAAAAGCUUACCAAGGCAAUGACGGGUAGCUGGUCUGAGAGGACGAUCAGCCACACUGGAACUGAAACACGGUCCAGACUCCUACGGGAGGCAGCAGUGGGGAAUCUUGCGCAAUGGACGAAAGUCUGACGCAGCAACGCCGCGUGAGCGAAGAAGGCCUUCGGGUUGUAGAGCUCUGUCGAGUGGGACGAAAAUGCUUGGAGUUCACAGCUCCAGGAACUGACGGUACUACUAAAGGAAGCACCGGCUAACUCCGUG